CCACAUGAUGAUCCAUGUAUUCACCAUAUCGACACUGAGUCGGAAACUCCCCGUGACGCACAAGUGAUUGUGCAUGGAACCGCCCGCACACGCUGUAGGGCACUGACUA